rnacentral:rRNA from 1 species
UAUUGCACAAUGGGGGAAACCCUGAUGCAGCGCCGCCGCGUGAGUGAUGAAGUAUUUCGGUAUGUAAAGCUCUAUCAGCAGGGAAGAAAAUGACGGUAACUGACUAAGAAGCACCGGCUAAAUACGUGCCAGCAGCCGAGGUAAUACGUAUGGUGCAAGCGUUAUCCGGAUUUACUGGGUGUAAAGGGAGCGUAGACGGAGAGGCAAGUCUGAUGUGAAAACCCGGGGCUCUACCCCGGGACUGCAUUUGAAACUGUUUUUCUAGAGUGUCGGAGAGGCAAGUGGAAUUCCUAGUGUAGCGGUGAAAUGCGUAGAUAUUAGGAGGAACACCAGUGGCGAAGGCGGCUUACUGGACUGUAACUGACGUUGAGGCUCGAAAGCGUGGGGAGCAAACAG